UACAGAGGGUGCGAGCGUUUAAUCGGAAUUACUGGGCGUAAAGCGUGCGUAGACGGUAGCGUAAGUCAGAUGUGAAAGCCCCGGGCUCAACCUGGGAACUGCAUUUGAGACUGCUCUGCUCGGGUGCGGAAGAGGGAAGCGGAAUUUCCGGUGUAGCGGUGAAAUGCGUAGAUAUCGGAAGGAACACCAGUGGCGAAAGCGGCUUCCUGGUCCGACACCGACGUUCAGGCACGAAAGCGUGGGGAGCAAACAGG
rnacentral:rRNA from 1 species